rnacentral:lncRNA from 1 species
GUUUAACAAAGAACGACAUCUAGAAUGCUUCACAAAUAAGGUUAUCAUGGGAAACGUCCAAGAAAGACACAUUACCUCAAACUUCGACACCUUAAAUCAAGAUUGAACUUUGACAAAUAACACUUGGAGAAGGCGGGAUCAUUGUCCAAGUUGGAGGGAGAGGCUUGUAUUUGUCUGAAGAUAUCCUUUUUUGACAUCAGAAGAUGAUCAAACAGAAUAAACAAAGUCAUAAAAAUUGGCUGAAGUUAUUGGUAGUAGUUCAAUGGAAAGGGAUUUGAAUUCAUUACGAUUGGAAGACGCUCAUAUUUAUUCACUGAAAUGGUCACAAGGGAUAAGCAGAUUUGUAUUUAUGUCACCUACGUACAUAAAGAUCAACCCAUUGAGACGGAAGUGUAGAUUUUUCGAAAUGGCUUUACAUGUAAUAUCUCAAUAAAUAUUGAGUUUAUUUGAACUUUUGUUUUUGCUAAGUAAGCUCAAGAUGAUCGAAAUAAUAUCUUAUUAUCUAUCUUUUAGAUAUAAAGUACUUUCAAUUUGAAUAGUUGUAGCUAUAUUCAUAAGAACAACCUCAAAAAUGGUGUACGUCACGUACACUACGUUCAAAACGUUUUUUUUUUUUUUUUUUUUUU